UACAAGUGUGUCUAAAUGUUUGUGCUUGU
rnacentral:piRNA from 1 species